UACAGAGGGUGCUAGCGUUAAUCGGAUUUACUGGGCGUAAAGCGUGUGUAGGCGGUUCGUUAAGUCAGACGUGAAAUCCCCCGGCUUAACCUGGGAACUGCGUCUGAUACUGGGAGCUUGAGUUCGGGAGAGGGAUGUAGAAUUCCAGGUGUAGCGGUGAAAUGCGUAGAUAUCUGGAGGAAUACCGGUGGCGAAGGCGGCAUCCUGGACCGAAAACUGACGCUGAGGCGCGAAAGCUAGGGGAGCAAACGGG
rnacentral:rRNA from 1 species